AUGAGCAGGAUAAAGCGGCAGAGAUCACCGAGAUGUCCACUGAAGGUGUCAUGUCUGCCGAGGGGCGGAGCCAGGCUGCAGAACCCCCCGACCUUCAUGAGACCCAAGGUCCAGUGGAUCUGGAGUCUGUGGUUCUGGAGGAGGGUCCUAAACCAGAACCACCUGGUCCAGUUGUUGUGCAGCGCGCGUGGGAGCAGGAAGUCCAACAGCUCAGGUGAAACUACUGUUGGUUCUCUGACAUUUUAGCCACUUCCUAUUUUGAUAUGAAUAGAUCCUUUUCCUGUUUAGACAUCGCCGGUCGUGUGCAGAGCCACAUCCGGUUUACAAUUUUAGAACGGCAAAGCUGACCGUUAAUUUAAAACCAGGACAAAUUGAAUAAACAGAUUUGGUUUAUCCCUUAUUUCUAUUUCAUUAACUUUCUUUUAUCAUUAAAAACUCAAAUAGAACACUUCUGUGAAGUAGCUUUAAUAAACAUGUAAAAAUAGAGCAAAUAUAAAUUAGAAAAAACAUAUUUUCUAUUUUCUUGUUCUAUAAGUGAUAAUUAGUCAUGGGGGAAAGUUUAGUGACUUUAGCUUUAAUAUCUUUAGAGUUAUUGAACAUUUUUAACCAAAUGUGAUUCCUGUUCUCAUUUAAAAUUCUUAAAAAUGAACAAUGACUUUGUGUUCAUGACUAGCUCAUAUCAUUAGAACCAUUUAUUAGUUGUUUUUUUUUGUUUUUUUUUUAAGAUUAUGUGCUUCUUUUUGAAGUUCUUAAGAGAUCACAUUUUCGGUUUUAUUACCACAGUAGUUAAUUAAUCUGUCAGAUAAAUAAAACAGGCAUAUCAAAGGACAGCUCGGGUCUUAAUGAGUUAAAAAACGGAGUUAGCACAGUUAGUAGCUGCUGCGUAGCCGUCUGUCUGUCAGCAGAACGAAGAAUUUAACAUUCAACACAAACGAAAGCUCUGUGUUUUUCUGUUGAAAUACCUUUAUAGGAUGUUGUUUGUGUUAGAACAAACCAAUAGAGACACUUGCUGUCAGUUUAAAGUGUUUUUAAAAGAGUUAUUGAUCCCAGAAGUCUGAAUCUGCCAACAUCUAGCUAGCUUAACUGAGUUGUUUAUGUUAGCCUCCGGUUUAAACUGCUGCGUUUUACGGUAAUAAUAACAACGACUUCUAGUAGAGUAUUUAUUCAGAAUAAUAAGCUUGAAAUAUAAAGUGCUGAUUAUUAUAAGAAUAAAUAUCUGAUACUGAUCGGGGGACAACAUUCCAUAUCGAUCAAGUCAUCAACCACGUGAUCGGGACAGAUUUUCAAUCACAUUAUUUAAAAAUAUUCCCAUUAAAAGCAUUCCUAUUUUCACAACUACCCCUAAAAAUACCCAGAAAAACAACAAAUACCUCUUAUUACAACAACUAUAUGUACCCUUGGGUGCAGUUAAAACACGUGCGGCCAACAUGCAGCGAUGUGCUUCUUAGCUGCUCCUAACAUAUAAAAUAUUCACAAAAGAGUGGAUAUGGGAAACAAUCUGAGCUUUUGAACGGAUCUGACCACACGGUCGACAUGAAUUUCCAUCAGUUUUUGUUUUGAUCGCACUUAAAAGACGUGUGAAUAAUAUCAAGCAAAAUAGAACCAUUAGAAUAAUAUCUGCUCAAAUGAAAGAUCGAUAUUUUCAAUAGAACCUCAAAUAUCAAAGAAUUAUUCAAAUUUGUAUUUAGAUUUGUGAACGAUCUUGACAGGAAAUGAAAAUACAUUUCAGCAACAUUUAUAAAAUAAAUAUUGUACAUUUUUCUGUUGAAAUUGGUGAGAUUGUCUUUUAUUAUUUAUGUUAAAUUGUGUUUAACAGUGUUCAGCUGUCAGCUUUGCUGUUCUAAACCCGAAUAACGGAAGUAACUAUUUGCAUAAUCUAACCAGUUGUAAUCAUUUUGUCGGACGUCAUCGUGACUUUUACAACACCCUCAAAGUUGAUGAUGUCAGCAGAAAUCCACAGAUGUUUUAACUGUUCUUUAGGUCACUCGAUGCUGUUUCAAGACCGGCCGACACGGCGGAGAAUGGUUCUGAAAAAACCCCUGAACCGUCUGGUGAGAUUAACGUGGGCCGAGCCGUGGCCUCUUCUC
rnacentral:lncRNA from 1 species